GGCACGGUAGCUCAGUUGGUUAGAGCGGGCGACUCAUAAUCGCCAGGUCGGGGGUUCGAGCCCCCCCUGUGCUA
rnacentral:tRNA from 2 species